rnacentral:rRNA from 1 species
GACGAACCGUGCGAACGUUGUUCGGAAUCACUGGGCUUAAAGGGCGCGUAGGCGGGCUGACAAGUCUGGGGUGAAAUGCCGCGGCUCAACCGUGGAACUGCCUUAGAUACUGUCGGCCUCGAGGAAGGUAGGGGCAUGCGGAACUGUAGGUGGAGCGGUGAAAUGCGUUGAUAUCUACAGGAACGCCGGUGGCGAAAGCGGCGUGCUGGACCUUUUCUGACGCUGAGGCGCGAAAGCUAGGGGAGCAAACGGG